rnacentral:rRNA from 1 species
CCCGACUGCUAUCAGAGUGGGACUAAGCCAUGCGAGUCAACAUAGCAAUAUGUGGCAUACGGCUCAGUAACACGUAGUCAAUAUGCCCAGGGGACGUGGAUAACCUCGGGAAACUGAGGAUAAACCGCGAUAGGUCAUCACUUCUGGAAUGGGUAAUGACUUAAAUCUAUAUGGCCCCUGGAUUGGACUGCGGCCGAUCAGGCUGUUGGUGAGGUAAUGGCCCACCAAACCUGUAACCGGUACGGGCUCUGAGAGGAGGAGCCCGGAGAUGGGCACUGAGACAAGGGCCCAGGCCCUAUGGGGCGCAGCAGGCGCGAAACCUCUGCAAUAGGCGAAAGCUUGACAGGGUUACUCUGAGUGAUUUCCGUUAAGGAGAUCUUUUGGCACCUCUAAAAAUGGUGCAGAAUAAGGGGUGGGCAAGUCUGGUGUCAGCCGCCGCGGUAAUACCAGCACCCCGAGUGGUCGGAACGUUUAUUGGGCCUAAAGCAUCCGUAGCCGGUUCUACAAGUCUUCCGUUAAAUCCACCUGCUUAACAGAUGGGCUGCGGAAGAUACUAUAGAGCUAGGAGGCGGGAGAGGCAAGCGGUACUCGAUGGGUAGGGGUAAAAUCCGUUGAUCCAUUGAAGACCACCAGUGGCGAAGGCGGCUUGCCAGAACGCGCUCGACGGUGAGGGAUGAAAGCUGGGGGAGCAAACCGGAUUAGAUACCCGGGUAGUCCCAGCUGUAAACGAUGCAGACUCGGUGAUGAGUUGGCUUAUUGCUAACUCAGUGCCGCAGGGAAGCCGUUAAGUUUGCCGCCUGGGGAGUACGGUCGCAAGACUGAAACUUAAAGGAAUUGGCGGGGGAGCACCACAAGGGGUGAAGCCUGCGGUUCAAUUGGAGUCAACGCCGGAAAUCUUACCGGGGGCGACAGCAGAGUGAAGGUCAAGCUGAAGACUUUACCAGACAAGCUGAGAGGAGGUGCAUGGCCGUCGCCAGCUCGUGCCGUGAGGUGUCCUGUUAAGUCAGGUAACGAGCGAGAUCCCUGCCUCGAGUUGCUACCAUUAUUCUCAGGAGUAGUGGAGCUAAUUAGAGGGACCGCCGUCGCUGAGACGGAGGAAGGUGGGGGCUACGGCAGGUCAGUAUGCCCCGAAACCCUCGGGCCACACGCGGGCUGCAAUGGUAAGGACAAUGAGUUUCGAUUCCGAAAGGAGGAGGCAAUCUCUAAACCUUACCACAGUUAUGAUUGAGGGCUGAAACUCGCCCUCAUGAAUAUGGAAUCCCUAGUAACCGCGUGUCACUAUCGCGCGGUGAAUACGUCCCUGCUCCU